rnacentral:rRNA from 1 species
GAACGAACGCUGGCGGCGCGUUUUAAGCAUGCAAGUCGGACGGUAGAAAGGUGCUUGCACCUUUUGAGAGUGGCGAACGGGUGAGUAACACGUAGGUAAUCUACCUAGAAGUUGGGGAUAGCCUGUGGAAACAUAGGGUAAUACCGAAUGCGACCGUGUAAACGGUGAAAGAGGCUUUGGCCUCGCUUUUAGUUGAGCCUGCGGCUCAUUAGCUGGUUGGUGGGGUAACGGCCUACCAAGGCGACGAUGAGUAGCCGGCCUGAGAGGGCGACCGGUCACACUGGGACUGAGACACGGCCCAGACUCCUACGGGAGGCAGCAGCUAAGAAUCUUCCGCAAUGGUCGAAAGGCUGACGGAGCGACGCCGCGUGGACGAAGAAGGCCGGAAGGUUGUAAAGUCCUUUUCUCGGAGAAGAAUAAGGUGCGGAGGGAAUGCCGCAUUGAUGACGUUAUCUGAGGAAUAAGCCCCGGCUAAUUACGUGCCAGCAGCCGCGGUAACACGUAAGGGGCAAGCGUUGUUCGGAAUUAUUGGGCGUAAAGGGCGCGUAGGCGGCUGAGCAAGCCUGGUGUGAAAGGCCACAGCUUAACUGUGGGAGUGCGCUGGGAACUGUUUGGCUGGAGUUCAGGAGGGGAAUCUGGAAUUCCUGGUGUAGGGGUGAAAUCUGUAGAUAUCAGGAAGAACACCUGUGGCGAAGGCGAGAUUCUGGCCAUGAACUGACGCUGAGGCGCGAAAGCGUGGGGAGCGAACAGGAUUAGAUACCCUGGUAGUCCACGCUGUAAACGAUGUGCACUAGGUGUCGGCUGUAGUAACGGUCGGUGCCGAAGCAAACGCGAUAAGUGCACCGGCUGGGGAGUAUGCUCGCAAGGGUGAAACUCAAAGGAAUUGACCGGGGCCCGACAAGCGGUGGAGCAUGUG